rnacentral:rRNA from 1 species
GAUGAACGCUGGCGGCGUGCCUAAUACAUGCAAGUCGAACGAAACUUCUUUAUCGCCGCGUGCUUGCACUCACCGAUAAAGAGUUGAGUGGCGAACGGGUGAGUAACACGUGGGCAACCUGCCCAAAAGAGGGGGAUAACACUUGGAAACAGGUGCUAAUACCGCAUAACCAUAGUUACCGCAUGGUAACUAUGUAAAAGGUGGCUAUACUACCGCUUUUGGAUGGGCCCGCGGCGCAUUAGCUAGUUGGUAGGGUAAAGGCUUACCAAGGCAAUGAUGCGUAGCCGAAUUGAGAGGUUGAUCGGCCACAUUGGGACUGAGACACGGCCCAAACUCCUACGGGAGGCAGCAGUAGGGAAUCUUCCACAAUGGGCGAAAGCCUGAUGGAGCAACGCCGCGUGGGUGAAGAAGGUCUUCGGAUCGUAAAACCCUGUUGUUAGAGAAGAAAGUGCGUGAGAGUAACUGUUCACGUUUCGACGGUAUCUAACCGGAAAGCCACGGCUAACUACGUG